ensembl:lncRNA
GCCGGGCUCCCGUGCAGGCUGGGUGAGGGCUGCGGUGCGACCCGACGACCGCGCAGAGGCAGAGGAGGGCGCGCGAGCUCGCGGAUGAGGGGCUGAGCAGGGCGUCGCGGCGGGGCGCUGGUCCGGUGAUCCCGACAGUGCCGCGGGAGAGGCGCGCGCCAGCCGGGACACGCGGGCGAGCGUCACCGAGCGCGGAGGGCCGGGCUCCCGCGUUCAGGCCCUGUGCUGCUGGGCGUGUGUGAAGCGUGCCCGCGAAACCGUCCCAGUUUAAAAAGAGCACAGUUCGCGAUUUGGCUGCAUAGGUUCAGUGUACUGCCAGUGCUUAUUGGCAUUUUCGUUUAUUUGUCCCAAACGUGUGCAUGGCCCCGAGAAGGAAGGCAGACCCCCGAGACAGGUCCAGGUCCCAGCUCAGUGGUGUUUGCAGUGUUUGGCCGGGGAAGACUUGGCGAGGGCCAGGAAGUCCGAGGCGAUGGAACAGGGCCGGGGACUCAGCUCAGUGGUGCCGCCGCCUGCUUCGCAAGCGCAAGGUCCCGAGUUCGAUCCCCGGUACCAAAAAAAAAGCGAUGGAAAGAACCACCUCUUGCUUCCCAUUUAGACCUGCCGUGUGCAGAGCUGAGGACUGGGUGUAGACUUCACAAAAUGAAGGGCGAAUUUGUCCGACCUGUUACUACCUAUUAGGUAUUUCUAGGCCCAACUGAAGAGUCAUGGUGUUUUGUUGUUGUUGACUUUGACAAAAACCACUUUUAAGUUGUUGACUGUCACAGAAGUAGCACAGACCAUGCUUAUAUUUCCCCUUGAGAUAGGGUCUUGAUACAUAGCUCAGGAGGGUCUUGAACUCACUGUGCACCCCAGGUUGGCCUUGAACUUGCAGGCAUCGUCCUCCCUCUGCCUGCCAAGUGCUGGAAUUGCAGGUGUGCACCAACACGCCUGGCUAAAUCAUGCUUAUUUUUUUGUGCCGGGGAUCAAACUCAGGACCUUGCACUUGCGAGGCAGGUGUGGUGCCACUGAGCUACAUCCCCAGCCCCUUAAAUCAUGUUGUGGUGAGUAACAGGCUAAGGAUCCCUGGAGUUUGUUUGUUUUUUCCAUCCCUGUGGUGGUCUCCGUGGUCCUCUCAAUAUCAUGGUCUCCAACUGUGUCGUGACCAGGAUGUCCCCAGCAUGUAAAAAGUUGCAGGAAGAGGACAGGAGUGGGCUGGGGGGCCUCCAUCAGGGUGAAAGGCUAGGGAGGACCUGCUGGUGGAGGGAGUGUCUGGGAGAAGCGUCUGAGCACUCUUCUUCAGGGGCUGCAGCUUCUCAGGGGCUGAAAACAACAGAAGGAACCGUGUUGGUUCUUGCAGGAGCCAAGCUGAGCCCACACCCUGAGAAACCAGAACUAAAGGAGCAGAUGGAAGAGAGAAAGUCUGCACAAGUGGAGGAAGAAAAUCCCCCAGAAUGGAUAAGGUCAUGGUAGACUAGGUGGAAACCAAAAUUGGGGAGGAAAAGUUGGAUAAGAAACUGUAGGGUGGGCUGGGAUUUAGCUCAGUGGCACCACGCCUGCCUUGCAAGUGCAAGGUCCUGAGUUUGAUCUGCAGUGUCAAAAAAAACAAGAAGAAAGAAACUGCAGGGAAGCUGAGGAUGGCGCAUGUCCUCCAGCCUUCCAGGCACAGCCUGCACCAAGCAGUGCGGUCAGGAGGGAAAGGGAUUCCACCGUGGAUUCAUGCGCCAGGUCAAGGAGCUCCCCUGGGUGGACUCAGAGCAGGAUUAUGUGGCCUGGAAGUGCCCAGUCCGAGGGAGGGAAGAGAGCACUGUGAGGGCCCGGCCCAGGCCCCAGGGACUAGAAUCUGGAGCCGCCCUCAUUGUAGGUGCCAGGCGAGUGUGAGGAGUGUGAGCAUGGGGGGAAUGCCUUGGCCAGAGAAGGUGGAGACCGCACCUUCAGCUGUUCUGCUGUGACUUAGGGAGGUGCAGGACGGGGGACUCCUGCCUCAGAACUAGUGAGAUUCUUCUGUCCUCCUCCACUUGCAACCAGUGAAGAUUUGGACACAGCAUCUCUCACAGACUUAGUAAUUGUUCAGGUUUUCUCACCCUGUGUUAAAACUUGGGAGUUUAGAUAACAGAAAGACGUUCUCACUUUCCCAAAGCUCUAGAGGGAGAACACAAGCAGUUUGAACACCAUGUGGCAUUUACCCUGCAGUAGGGGUGUGGCAGCACAGAAUGUGGUGGACAGGGCGGAGAUGCUGUGCUUCGGGACAGGAGAGCAGCAGAGGAGGCCCUGAGCACAGUCCCAUUUCACCAGAGCUUGCAGGUGGGCAUCAGCAGGCGGGGCUGUGUGGGCAGGCUGCUCUCUCAGGUGGUGACGGUUUCCUCUGGAGAAGGAGCCUGUGUGUGACAGGACACCCAGGACAUGUGGGCAGAAAUACCUUUGCAGUGAUGAGAUGUUUGCAAUCACGUCAGUGCUGUCAUUGAGCAAGCACUGUUCAGAUCCUUCUCCAUGCUGGGCCCUAAGCUGGAAACUGUGCAGACAGAGCCAAAGAAACUGUCAUCCCAGCAUCCCCAGAGCUCUCAGACACGAAAAGCAGCAAGUGAUGGGAAGGACUCGGACAAAGAAGCCGCUGCUGGGUGGGACUGCAUCGGUGUUUGUGUUAAUUCUCCAUCUGGCUUCUCCCGCAGCUGCCACACCUGUCUGAAGGUAAUGACUGUGACCUCUCAAAAUAUCACCACCUCCUUGGCUCCAGGUUGGCUGAAGGCCACUCACAUUGCUCAGGUCUGAGGAUGCAGGUGACCUCAUCAGUGUCCCCUGACCGUGUCCCUGUCAGCUGCAGAAACCAAGAGGCAAGGUCAGUAAAACUUACAGGUUUCUCCCUGCCAUGUUACCCUCAUGUUCUUGGCUCUGUCAGGUAAGAGCUUUUAAACUUCACUCUUCUGUCUGCAUGAAGGCAAAUUACAUACUGGUCAUAUUCCUCAAACUGUAAUACUUGUUUUAUCCUCAAAUUUGAAAUAAAAUAGGGUAAAAAAUGAAGCCCUUCAUAUAGGGGUGUGUGAGACUAAAAUUCAGGUUUUACGAUGCUCAAGUGGUUGAAGAACAUGUUUUUAUUCUGCUAAAACAAGAAUGAGCUAAUACCCCUGCUGUGCUCCUCUUGUUGGCCUUAUCAGAUAUAAAAGCUCUACUGAGCUCCAGAGCUUAGAUCUGCAGCAGUUUAGCUCAUGCAGUGCAUUUGCUGCCCUGUGCUUAAAACACUGCUGGUUACACAGGGGACGCAGAGUUGGGCACGGCAGCCCUUAGAGGAGCUUCGCGUAUUUGCACCAGGGUCACUAAGGACUGUCAGUACCUUCUGUGACAACAUCUCUCGUGGACAGUUCUGAGCCCACUCUGGAGAAAGGGAAGAGGACAGUGACGGGGCACAGCCCUGGGCUCUCUGCCUCCCAAAGAUUUAGGAUGAAAGGACCCUGGGGAAUCUCUUCGGGGAGUGUCCUACAGGUGAGGGUUCACACACACUUCGCAUGGCUCCCAUCCCUGGUUUCCUUUCACAGAUAAUCGUCAGAUUUAGCAACAUCAGGAGGAGCCAGCCAGACAUGGACUGCAGAGCCUCAGUUCAAGAUGCUGCUGAGAAAGUGAAGCAGGCAGGAGUCAGUGCCGGAGAGGGGUCCAUGUCGGUGUCGGGAGAGCGCAUUGGUGGCCUUCAGCAGUGGUGGUGAAUCCUGGAGAGACGUCUGUCCCCAGGAGUCCCCGAUGACAGCUCCAGAUGCCAGAUGACUAAUAGAACCACUCCCUUGUGUUGACCUCACAGGAAGGCCCGGGAUUUCUUCAGAAUUGGAGAUCAUCUGAAAACCACUGGCGUCCCAUGGUGUAAUUGGAGGAUGGUGUGGGGUGAAGGUGGCCUCCUUCUCAGGUGUUGGUCCAGUCCCCGUCCUUCCCUUGGACAUGGAUGCUCUGUGGUCCAGGAUCACACCUGUUGCCCCCCGAAUGAGGAAGUCUGACCACUAACCUGGAAAGUGUUGGCCACGCGAGCAGAGCAUCUCUGCAGAAGUCCUUGGAUGUACAUCUACUGCUACCGAGGUCACCAUGGCAGUACCACGCAGCCCCAGUCCAGGGGCUGAAGUGAAUGUUGUGGAGUUCAAGGAGUAUAAGUGCUCUUGGGUGGGAGACAAUGAACUGCAAUUUGAAGACCGCAGAUCAAGUUCCGUUAGACCUGAAGCAGCUCUUGGCUCCCUGGACACCAAAGUGCAGAAACGUGAAAGUCACCUUGUAGCCUGGGUUGGGCUUGAACUUGCAGCAUUCUGCCUCCUUCAGCCUCCUGAGUGGCUAAGAUUACAGCAGACGCCUGGGAGUGCAACCACAGGACUACCCACAGUGAGGGGUUCCAGGACGGUGACGGGAGUGAGGAGCCAGGUCUGCCUCAGCCCACCAGCCCUGAGGAGCAGCUUCCGGGUAAGAACCAACUUAGGAUCCCCUUCUGGUGGCCACAGUGCAGGACAGAUACCACCUGUGACCCUCAGCCUCUCAUGCUGUCCCUGGGGUAGGAAUGUGGGCUGUGGCUGAGGAAUGGGAAGACCCAGGUCCCCAAACUGCUCCCAGAGCUGCUGUCUCCUGAAAUCCCACCAUCACUCACUCUGCUGGGGCUUUAUCAUUCCUGUGUUCCCGUCCUCCAGCUGACCCGCUCUAGUGUCACUGGCGAGUGAUGCCCUGCGGUCAGUGAUGAUGGAAAUGAAAAUCAAAGCACAAAAAUUAUAGAAAAAAGCUUUCUGUGAAAGUGACAGAAGAUAAUGGAGGUACAGCUCGACGAGGCCCUGCUGGUCCCCAACAAGGAAAGGAAGGGGAAGGAGGGAAAGGAAGGGAAAGGAGGGAAAGGAGGGAAAGGAAGGGCCCAGGGCGGGCGGCAGAGGGGCCACACUGAUGCAGGUCAGCAGGC